CUGUUUUUAUCUAUGUAUGGACCUUACAGUUGAUUAACUACAAAUGCUAAACUUGAUUUCUAGAUGUUUAUAAAUUUGAUCCCGAUUUUGAAACAAAUGAAGAACAUUAGAAAUCACCGCGAACAGAAAUAUUAAGGUCAAACAAUGAAGACGAAUCAGAUAAUGAUGAUGAUAAAGGAUAAGGUAAAGAAAUUUAAUUUAUAAUUAUUAUUGUUAGAUUAAUUAUUUUAAUUUUUUUUUGUCAGUUGCGGUUUGCACUUUGCUCAUCGUACACGUAAUUAUUACGCUCCGCUUAAUUGUCACGUUCCCAUUUCUUUUUCGUGUCCGAAUGUGUCGUGUUUAAUAUGUAAAGAAUCAUAAUUCAUCUACUUUUUGCUUUCUUUACAAGAAAGCAAAAAGUAGAUGAAGGGGUGCGUCUUCGGGCGUUCUUUUUCUUAAAUGGAAAUUGAAUAAUUCAGAACUAUAUAUCAUAUA